rnacentral:ncRNA from 1 species
AAGAAGUUUGAUUCUUGCUUUUUCGUUCAGUUUUUGUUUGCUCUAUAUGUAAGUUUUUGCGUGAUUUAUUGGUUGUGUCCUAUGAUGGGCUAUCAUUGUGUUGGAUGAUAUUAAUUCUCAUUAGUUGUUAUUGUUUAUCAAGUGUUCUUGUAAUCAGCAAUGCAUUUUAGUUUCGGUUAAAUUUUGUGCCAGCAGCCGCGGUUAUACCUUGGAGGCGUUUGAAUGUGUUUGGCGUUAGGUAGUUUUAUUGAUCCAUUUAUUGUGAAUUAUAUAUUGGUUAUUGUUAGGUGAAAUUUUUUUGUUGUUGUUAGGUUUAUUAUCUGUUUGGAAGCUAUGAAAUUCUUUUUGUAGACUAGGAUUAGAUACCCUAUUAUUUUAGAAUGUAAAUUGUUUUGCCUGAGUAGUAUUAGUUAUGUUCUUGAAACUUAAAGAAUUUGGCGGUAUCUCAUUCCGUCUAGAGGAAUCUGUCUCGUUAUCGAUAGUCCACGUUGGACCUUACUUAGUUUAAAAUUGGUUUGUAUACCGCCGUUUAUUGAUUAUCUUUUUAGGGUUUGUAAUUUUCUGGUUUCUUUAUUUUGAUUUAUUUCAGGUCAAGGUGCAGCUUGUUUCUAAGUGGAAUGAUGGAUUACAUUGUUAUUUGUUUUGGAUUAUUUAUUUUAAUAUGAAUAUGAAAUUGGAUUUGGUUGUAAUUAUUUUUAGAAUGUUAUUGUGAUAUUGGUUCUGAGAUAUGCACACAUCGCCCGUCGCUCUCGUUUAUUUGUUGAUGAGAUAAGUCGUAACAAAGUGGUUGUACCGGAAGGUGUAGCUGGAUUGUU